AGUGAACGCUGGCGGUAGGCCUAACACAUGCAAGUCGAACGGCAGCACAGUAAGAGCUUGCUCUUACGGGUGGCGAGUGGCGGACGGGUGAGGAAUACAUCGGAAUCUACUUUUUCGUGGGGGAUAACGUAGGGAAACUUACGCUAAUACCGCAUACGACCUACGGGUGAAAGCAGGGGAUCUUCGGACCUUGCGCGAUUGAAUGAGCCGAUGUCGGAUUAGCUAGUUGGCGGGGUAAAGGCCCACCAAGGCGACGAUCCGUAGCUGGUCUGAGAGGAUGAUCAGCCACACUGGUACUGAGACACGGUCCAGACUCCUACGGGAGGCAGCAGUGGGGAAUAUUGGACAAUGGGCGCAGGCCUGAUCCAGCCAUACCGCGUGGGUGAAGAAGGCCUUCGGGUUGUAAAGCCCUUUUGUUGGGAAAGAAAAGCAGCAGGUUAAUACCCCGCUGUUCUGACGGUACCCAAAGAAUAAGCACCGGCUAACUUCGUG
rnacentral:rRNA from 1 species